CCUACGGGCGGCAGCAGUGAGGAAUAUUGGUCAAUGGGCGGAAGCCUGAACCAGCCAAGUCGCGUGAGGGAUUAAGGCCCUGCGGGUCGUAAACCUCUUUUGCCGGGGAGCAGUGGUCCGGACGAGUCCGGGCCGGGAGAGUACCCGGAGAAAAAGCAUCGGCUAACUCCGUGCCAGCAGCCGCGGUAAUACGGAGGAUGCGAGCGUUAUCCGGAUUUAUUGGGUUUAAAGGGUGCGUAGGCGGGCAUUUAAGCCGGCGGUCAAAUGUCGGGGCUCAACCCCGGCCUGCCGUCGGAACUGGGUGCCUUGAGUGGGCGAGAAGUAUGCGGAAUGCGUGGUGUAGCGGUGAAAUGCAUAGAUAUCACGCAGAACCCCGAGUGCGAAGGCAGCAUACCGGCGCCCGACUGACGCUGAGGCACGAAAGUGCGGGUAUCGAACAGGAUUAGAUACCCCUGUAGUC
rnacentral:rRNA from 1 species